rnacentral:ncRNA from 1 species
UCCACCGUGAGGGGAAUCUGAAGGAAGCCGGAAGCAAAAUGCUGGUCUGACGAACAGGAAGCGGUUAAGGCGGCGUAGUGGGGUAAGGCGGCCAUUAUCGUCAAAGCCCAAUACUUGCACGGAACACUACGACGUACAGCCGACAGAUAUAAGCAGGAAAGUCGCGUGA